rnacentral:rRNA from 1 species
GAUGAACGCUGGCGGCGUGCCUAAUACAUGCAAGUCGAGCGAACGGACGAGAAGCUUGCUUCUCUGAUGUUAGCGGCGGACGGGUGAGUAACACGUGGAUAACCUACCUAUAAGACUGGGAUAACUUCGGGAAACCGGAGCUAAUACCGGAUAAUAUUUUGAACCGCAUGGUUCAAAAGUGAAAGACGGUCUUGCUGUCACUUAUAGAUGGAUCCGCGCUGCAUUAGCUAGUUGGUAAGGUAACGGCUUACCAAGGCAACGAUGCAUAGCCGACCUGAGAGGGUGAUCGGCCACACUGGAACUGAGACACGGUCCAGACUCCUACGGGAGGCAGCAGUAGGGAAUCUUCCGCAAUGGGCGAAAGCCUGACGGAGCAACGCCGCGUGAGUGAUGAAGGUCUUCGGAUCGUAAAACUCUGUUAUUAGGGAAGAACAUAUGUGUAAGUAACUGUGCACAUCUUGACGGUACCUAAUCAGAAAGCCACGGCUAACUACGUGCCAGCAGCCGCGGUAAUACGUAGGUGGCAAGCGUUAUCCGGAAUUAUUGGGCGUAAAGCGCGCGUAGGCGGUUUUUUAAGUCUGAUGUGAAAGCCCGCGGUCUCACCCGUGGAGGGUCAUUGGAAACUGGAAAACUUGAGUGCAGAAGAGAAAAGUGAAAUUCCGUGUGUAGCGGUGAAAUGCACAGAGAUAUGAGAGGAACACCAGUGGCCGAAGGCGACUUUCUGGUCUGUAACUGACGCUGAUGUGCGAAAGCGUGGGGAUCAAACAGGAUUAGAUACCCUGGUAGUCCACGCCGUAAACGAUGAGUGCUAAGUGUUAGGGGGUUUCCGCCCCUUAGUGCUGCAGCUAACGCAUUAAGCACUCCGCCUGGGGAGUACGACCGCAAGGUUGAAACUCAAAGGAAUUGACGGGGACCCGCACAAGCGGUGGAGCAUGUGGUUUAAUUCGAAGCAACGCGAAGAACCUUACCAAAUCUUGACAUCCUUUGACAACUCUAGAGAUAGAGCUUUCCCCUUCGGGGGACAAAGUGACAGGUGGUGCAUGGUUGUCGUCAGCUCGUGUCGUGAGAUGUUGGGUUAAGUCCCGCAACGAGCGCAACCCUUAAGCUUAGUUGCCAUCAUUAAGUUGGGCACUCUAAGUUGACUGCCGGUGACAAACCGGAGGAAGGUGGGGAUGACGUCAAAUCAUCAUGCCCCUUAUGAUUUGGGCUACACACGUGCUACAAUGGACAAUACAAAGGGCAGCGAAACCGUGAGGUCAAGCAAAUCCCAUAAAGUUGUUCUCAGUUCGGAUUGUAGUCUGCAACUCGACUACAUGAAGCUGGAAUCGCUAGUAAUCGUAGAUCAGCAUGCUACGGUGAAUACGUUCCCGGGUCU